UUUUAAUUGUUAAUUUCUCCUUGGAUUUGUUCCAGGGUUUUUCCCUUUGUUUCAGGUACAACAGCAAUCACGAACAACACAGCGAGAACAUUGACCACUGCAUACAGAAUGAAGGUACCUGAAAAUCAUGCACAAGGAGAAGUUCUUACAAUGACCGAGCGCAAGUAUCUCCUUUGAAACAAAUCGAGCAAAUUGGAUUGAGGGAGCCGAUCAAGAGUUGCGAUAUACUCCUGCCAAGAUAUGUCAGCGUCUUUGCCGCGAAGUUUCUGCAGCGCUAAUUCAAACUCUUUCCGGCGUCCUGUCUUUGCCUGCAUCCAUGAUGAAAUUGUAAUGUAUGUCUUCUUUUUAUUGAAUGUUGCCAUCAGAUAAACAGAAAAUGCAAAAGAGUACUUUCUUACCAACCAUCUUGGAGACUCGGGAAUGAAAAAGAGACCGAAAAUGAUCACAGCACAGGGAACAAUUCCUGCAAUCAUCGCACAGCAGUUAAUCUUCCUCGAAGAUUUUUGGGCGCAAUCUCAGCUACGAAAACAGAAGAGGGUGGUGACUCACAAUGUACGAAAAUGCUCCACUUCCGUACCCAGUUGCCACUCUUCCGAUGUCCAGAGACACAGCCCCCUUCAACAGAAAAUGAUAAAGAACACGAAUAAGGUCAAAUAUUUAAUGAGAAGGUAAAAUCACAGAGAAAUUCCAGCAGUAAAAUUGGUACGAACCUUGGAGAAGUAAAUAGCAAGCCAGCCUGCAACACAGAAAACACAGGACAUUCUCAAGGCCUGCAUACAAUUUUACAGUAUUGAUACUGUUAGACGGCGAAUAUUGGUGAACCGAAUUAGGUGAUGUCUAUAUUCGACAUAAUUUUCGAACUCAUACCCCUUUUCGACCAAGAAAAUCAGUGAUCGGCCCGAUUGUGAUAGCACCUAUCAUUGCACCGAAUGUCAAAAUGGAGCCAAACAUUGAAUACUGCAUACAGAUGCACAAGAAGACUGAGUGGGCGACGAGUAACCAACCUGGAAGAAGUCAUACAGAGAGUGUCAGAACCAAAAUACCAAAACAACUCGCCUGUCCAGAGAUCGCUGCUGUGGGAACGAAAACCUGAAUAAAUCCUAAGCACUUACGCCGCAACCAAAUUCAUAAGAGCCGCAGACUGCAACAAAUGUGCUGAGGUAAACCAUCCAUUGAUCGCCUUUGGCGCUUCCAUGACCUGAUCCAUCUCCAUCAGCCGCUUUCACUGCCCUCACCAGCGGCUCUCUCAUCUCCUCCCGUGCAGCAUUCUUUGAUAGAUCUUCAAUGGCCAUGCCUGCCCGAUUAUAUGACUCUCCGGUAUGUUUAUGAAUCUUUACAAAUGUCAAAAGGAAGGAAGAUUCAAACGAGGUCAGAAGGGAUGUAAAAAAAUUCUAAAUUUUCGACGAAAGUAUCAUUUUCGAGCUUCUAAGUUUGAUCUAAACUGCCUCUUUGAUGACA